rnacentral:rRNA from 1 species
UUUGACCUCGGAUCAGGUAGGAAUACCCGCUGAACUUAAGCAUAUCAAUAAGCG